rnacentral:tRNA from 1 species
UGUCGAUCUGGACCACCUUGCAGUCCUUCGGGUACCAGUCCCGGUAGGGGAAGUCGGUGCCCAGCAUGAGCAGGGCGUCGCCGCUGUCGAGGGC